rnacentral:piRNA from 1 species
UAGCUGUGGUGAAAUGACCUAUGGAAGU